ACGAGCGAGAGAGAGCUUGUUUCUCGAGCGAGUGGCGAACGGGUGAGUAACGCGUGAGGAACCUGCCUCAAAGAGGGGGACAACAGUUGGAAACGACUGCUAAUACCGCAUAAGCCCACGGCUCGGCAUCGAGCAGAGGGAAAAGGAGCAAUCCGCUUUGAGAUGGCCUCGCGUCCGAUUAGCUAGUUGGUGAGGUAAUGGCCCACCAAGGCGACGAUCGGUAGCCGGACUGAGAGGUUGAACGGCCACAUUGGGACUGAGACACGGCCCAGACUCCUACGGGAGGCAGCAGUGGGGAAUAUUGCACAAUGGGGGAAACCCUGAUGCAGCGACGCCGCGUGGAGGAAGAAGGUCUUCGGAUUGUAAACUCCUGUUGUUGGGGAAGAUAAUGACGGUACCCAACAAGGAAGUGACGGCUAACUACGUGCCAGCAGCCGCGGUAAAACGUAGGUCACAAGCGUUGUCCGGAAUUACUGGGUGUAAAGGGAGCGCAGGCGGGAAGACAAGUUGGAAGUGAAAUCUAUGGGCUCAACCCAUAAACUGCUUUCAAAACUGUUUUUCUUGAGUAGUGCAGAGGUAGGCGGAAUUCCCGGUGUAGCGGUGGAAUGCGUAGAUAUCGGGAGGAACACCAGUGGCGAAGGCGGCCUACUGGGCACCAACUG
rnacentral:rRNA from 1 species